rnacentral:rRNA from 1 species
UAUCUCUGUAGAGUCUGCAUAUCAAUAAGCGGAGGAAAAGAAACUAACAAGGAUUCCCCUAGUAACGGCGAGUGAAGCGGGAAGAGCUCAAAUUUGAAAUCUUAAAGGGUUUCCCUUUACGAAUUGUAGUUUAAAGAAGUGUUUUCUGUUGAGGUUUUGGUAAAAGUUCUUUGGAAUAGGACAUCAUAGAGGGUGAGAAUCCCGUAUUUGACCUUUACUUUCAACUUUGUGAUACACUUUCAAAGAGUCGGAUUGUCUGGGAAUGCAGUCCAAAAUGGGUGGUAAAUUUCAUCUAAAGCUAAAUAUUGGCGAGAGUCCGAUAGCGAACAAGUACCGUGAGGGAAAGAUGAAAAGAACUUUGAAAAGAGAGUUAAACAGUACGUGAAAUUGUCAAGAGGGAAGCGUUUGACACCAGUGUUGUUUUUCUGAAAAUCAAUUAAAAAAGGCAGGAUUUUGUGUUGUAUUGACUUUAUCAGCUUUCUGCACUCUUUUCUUGUCUUUUUUAAUGCACUUUUCGUUUAACAAGUCAACAUCAAUUUCUUUUGUUGUAAAAGGGUCAUUGGAAGGUGGCUUUCUUUUCGGAGAAAGUGUUUAUAGCCUUUGGCCUCUGCAAUCGGAGAGAUUGAGGUCUGCAGCGUAGAUCCUUCGGGGUUAGAUACAUUUGUGCUAAGUUAUAGCCUUUCAUAGACAACUUGUUGACUAUGAUCAGUCAUGUAGCUUACUCGCUUAUGCUAUUUUACCUACGCUUAGGAUGUUGACGAUCAGCUGAGCGCG